rnacentral:rRNA from 1 species
ACGUAGGGGGCAAGCGUUGUCCGGAAUCACUGGGCGUAAAGGGCGCGUAGGCGGUUUGUUAAGUCAGGUGUGAAAGUUUUCAGCUUAACUGGAAAAGUGCACUUGAAACUAACUUACUUGAGUACUGGAGAGGUAAGCGGAAUUCCUAGUGUAGCGGUGAAAUGCGUAGAUAUUAGGAAGAACACCGGUGGCGAAGGCGGCUUACUGGACAGAGACUGACGCUGAGGCGCGAAAGCGUGGGGAGCGAACAG